rnacentral:rRNA from 1 species
UUGGAGGGCAAGUCUGGUGCCAGCAGCUGUGGUAAUUUCAGCUCCAAUAGCGUAUAUUAAAGUUGUUACAAUUAAAAAGCUCGUAGUUGAAUUUCGGGAUUAGUAGGUUGGUUGUGCCUCAGGUAUAUACUGAUCUCACUAAUUCCUCCUUCCUGAUGAACCGUAAUGCCAUUAAUUUGGUGUUACAGGGAAACUGGACUGUUACUUUAAAAAAAUUAGAGUGUUUAAAGCAGGCUAACGCUUGAAUACAUUAGCAUGGAAUAAUGAAAUAGGACGUUCGAUCCUAUUUUGUUGGUUUCUAGGAUUGAUGUAAUAAUUAAUAGGGAUAGUUGGGGGCAUUAGUAUUCAAUUAUCAGAGGUGAAAUUCUUGGAUUUAUUGAAGACUAACUACUGCGAAAGCAUUUGCCAAGGAUGUUUUCAUUAAUCAAGAACGAAAAUUAAGGAAUCGAAGACGAUCAGAUACCGUCGUAGUCUUAACCAUAAACUAUGCUGACUAGGGAUCGGAUGAUGUUAAUUUUUUAAUGACUCAUUCGGCGCCUUACGGGAAAC